ACAAGAAGGUGAUGGUCUCAAAAGUUCAUUACUUGAUAGGUUUCACAUGCACCGAGAGAUUUGUAUUGCCAAACCUACCUAACACUUUACAUCAGUUUCAACGCCACCGAGUCAUUAUCAUUUCCAACUGAGCUAUGAGAACUAAGAAAAAUGUUUAGCCUACAUGUAAACAGCUGCAUUAAAGGGGACACAAAUGAUCAUUAAAGAUGUCCAUGCAUCAAGAAGGCCCUGGUUUCUAAAAGUAUUAAGGAAGCAGAAUAUGAGAAACAAGAUGUACAGAUAAAAGAGUUCAGGAAGUCACUAGCCCGAUGGAAUUUACAUAUUCAGAGUGUGAUAGGAAACACUACUGCUAAACAAAUCGGGCAACGUUCUGCACAUAGAAGAAUAAGAAAAAGGCAGGUUCAAUUUAAGAUACCAAGAAAGUAUUCUGCCUGUAGUAUCUGUUAUUUUGCAGUAAAACAUGGCAAAAGCAGUUCACAUGCAUAAAGAAUCGACAGAAAAUGUCCUCUGGAAUGACUAUGCUAGUUAUAUUACAAAGGGAGAAAAAAUGAGAAUCAACAAAUUGGUAUUCAAGAAAAGGAGGAAGUGAUUCAAGUCAAUCUCCCAGCAGUUUGCAUAGUUUUCAAUAAUCUCCCAGGAAACAGGGGGAAGGAGACUUUUCACAAUGGACUACCGAAAAAUAAAAACAGAGGCUUUUCCCUGUCUUCUCCUCCCUCAAGAACAGCCAGGUGAUUUUUUGCCCGUGAAGAAGGCAAUUAUACCAGGCCUCUAAGCAUUUUGCAUCAAUACAUGGCCAAUGAGACCGAGAAGGAGUAUAUCAAACUGCGUUUGUUACUUUAAUGGAAAACAAUCUAAUAUGUGACUGAUUCCUUCCCACCAAAAUCACUGUAUUCCCCUGUGACUUUUACCUGAACCAAAGCACUGGCGGGAUCUUGAUGCGAGCGGAACUGGAGAUCAACAGGCUGGCGGGUGUGAGACGGUCGGGCACCAACGUUCCAGCGUACAAGACAAGCCGGUGUCGGAUCUGGAGCUGGAGGGGGACGCGGUAGUUCGCCGGUCACGCGGUGGUUCGCCGCGAAGAGAGGGAGGGCAGACAGAGAAGAGCGGGAUCGUGAUGCGAGCGGAACUGGAGAUCAACAGGCCGGCGGGUGUGAGGCGGUCGGGCACCAACGUUCCAGCGUACAAGACAAGCCGGUGUCGGAUCUGGAGCUGGAGGGGGGGCGCGGUGGUUCGCCGGUCACGCGGUGGUUCGCCGCGAAGAGAGGGAGGGCAGACAGAGAAGAGCAGGGGACGGACAAGUCGGGGCCAGAUCCGGAGCCGGAGGGGGUGGCGCGGUGGUUCGCCGGUCGGAAAAAGCGAGGGAGGGCAGAGAGAGGGAGGUUGCUCGCAGUCGUCUCGCCGGUAUCCUCCUCGUUCGUCGGUUGCUCGCAGUGGUUCGCCGGCCGGAAAGAGGGAGGGCAGAGAGGAAGGUCGCACGCCGGUCGGUCGCUCGCGGUCGUCUCGCCGGUAUCCUGGUUUGUCGGUUGCUCGCGGUGGUUCGCCGGUCGGAAAAAGCGAGGGCAGAGAGAGAGAGUUCCUCGGGAGUUCGUUCGGGGAGAGAGAGCGAGUGUAGAGAGAGACGAAAGAAAGAACUGAAAACCCUAGCUACAGUACAGAAACAUUUUCAAAAUGGCGCCUGACCUUAUGGGUCCCACGAGGACACGUGUCGCGCUGCUACCGCCUUCUUGUUUGCCACG
rnacentral:lncRNA from 1 species